rnacentral:rRNA from 1 species
GUCGCACCUACCGAUUGAAUGGUCCGGUGAGGAUUCGGGACUGUGACCAGUGCCUUUACUGGUGUUGGUGACGGGAACUUGUCCAAACCUUAUCAUUUAGAGGAAGGUG